UUGUAUUUAGUUUACUAUUGUAUUGGAUUUAAAAAAAGAGAGAAGAAAUUCGGAAAAAAUUCAAAAAAAUCGAAAAAAAGGAAAAAAAGAAGUGACAAAAAAAAUCGAGUUAAAAAAAAAGAAGAAAGAAAAAAAAGUGAAAAGUCUUGCGAGUUUUUAUCAUUAUCACUUAUUACUCCGAUCAUCAAGUUUCCCUUCCUACCAUUAUUUACCCAUCCCAACGCCACAUUUUAAACCAAUUUUCUUCUUUGUUCAACCUACCCUACACCCGACAUUAUCCCUUGUAACCCAUUUUGAAACCGAC
rnacentral:lncRNA from 1 species